rnacentral:rRNA from 1 species
AUUGAACGCUGGCGGCAUGCCUUACACAUGCAAGUCGAACGGUAACAGGUCUUCGGAUGCUGACGAGUGGCGAACGGGUGAGUAAUACAUCGGAACGUGCCUAGUAGUGGGGGAUAACUACUCGAAAGAGUGGCUAAUACCGCAUGAGAUCUACGGAUGAAAGCAGGGGAUCGCAAGACCUUGUGCUACUAGAGCGGCCGAUGGCAGAUUAGGUAGUUGGUGGGAUAAAAGCUUACCAAGCCGACGAUCUGUAGCUGGUCUGAGAGGACGAUCAGCCAAACUGGGACUGAGACACGGCCCAGACUCCUACGGGAGGCAGCAGUGGGGAAUUUUGGACAAUGGGCGAAAGCCUGAUUCAGCAAUGCCGCGUGCAGGAUGAAGGCCUUCGGGUUGUAAACCGCUUUUGUACGGAACGAAAAGCCCCGGGUUAAUACCCUGGGGUCAUGACGGUACCGUAAGAAUAAGCACCGGCUAACUACGUGCCAGCAGCCGCCGUAA